rnacentral:sRNA from 1 species
AUGAACAAAAAAUUUAUUAAAAAUCGAUAUGACGACUGUCAUUACUCUCAAAGCCGAUAACUUUAUAUGUGAAAGGAUAGGGUAGGGAAGGAAAGAAAAUAUGUCCUCUCUUCUUACUGGCCUUGAUUAGGCGUGAGGCUACCCAAAUUGUUUAGUGUAAAACACGAUGAACCAGUCUCUGAGGAGGUGGUGUACGCUUUAUAUUUGAUCUGCGUCUGCUGCCUACCCUGCUCUUACUUUUGGUAUUAUGCUGCUGAAUUUAUGACAAAAUCGAUACCACUAUGAUGUUUGGCUGCUGGUUUGCCCAUAAAAAAUAUGUACGAUUGUAUUUUGUAUGUACACAUUGAAAAAUUAUUCUAUCUGAAUGUUUGUCAUUUAACUUUCAUGUGACAGUAGAAAGUUCUUCAACGAA